AUUGAACGCUGGCGGCAGGCCUAACACAUGCAAGUCGAGCGAGAGGCGGACGAGUGAGUAAUGUAUGGGGACUGCCCGAUAGAGGGGGAUAACUACUGGAAACGGUGGCUAAUACCGUAUACUGUCGGAUAAUCCAUUUGGGGUUAGCUAGUAGGUAAGGUAAUGGCUUACCUAGGCGACGAUCCCUAGCUGGUCUGAGAGGAUGAUCAGCCACACUGGGACUGAGACACGGCCCAGACUCCUACGGAGGCAGCAGUGGGGAAUAUUGCACAAUGGGCGCAAGUCUGAUGCAGCCAUGCCGCGUGUAUGAAGAAGGCCCUAGGGUUGUAAAGUACUUUCAGUCGGGAGGCGUUACCGACAGAAAAAGCACCGGCUAACUCCGUGCCAGCAGCCGCGGUAAUUC
rnacentral:rRNA from 1 species